CUUAACUGACUUGCCUAGUUAAAUAAUGAAAUUGUUGUUUACAGAAACCCCCUAAGUCAUCAAAUCGUUAUAGCCGUUCGAAGUAAAAGCCUACCCACGUGUAGACUUUUGAUAAAUCAAUCAAUGUCAGAUUUUUCUUUUCACUGAACCUUCAUUUGGAUAUUGGUUAGGCUACAAUGAGGCUGUGGAAAUGUUAGCUAAAUUGAGAAGAAUCCCGUGGCUGUGAUGUAGGGUUCAGUCAGGAGUUGAUGGACGGUCAGAGGAAGAGCAAAUUAAAUGGACGCCUCCAAUGUCAUUUUAGAGAAUUUGGCAGUAGGUCCAACCGGCCUCACAACCACAGACCACGUGUAACCACGCCAGCCCAUGACCUCCACAUCUGGCUUCUUCACCUGUGGGAUAGUCUGAGAUCAGCCAUCCUGACAGCUGAUGAAGCUGUGGGUUAGCACAACCAAAUAAUUUCUGCACAAACUGUCUGAACCCGUCUCAGAGAAGUUCAUCUGCGUGCUCAUCAUCCUCAACAGGGCCUUGACCUGACUGCAGUUUGGCAUCGUAACCGACUUCAGUGGACAAAUGCUCACCUUCGAUGGCCACUUGGCACGCUGGAGACUUGUGCUUUUCACGGAUAAAUCCCAGUUUGGCACACUGUGUAUCUCAGUUGCUUGCAACUCCAGGGUUGUGGGUUUGAUUCCCAUGUGGGAUAAGUUACAAAAAAGUAUGAAAAUGUGUGUACUCACUACUGUAAGUCGUGCUGGAUAAGAGCGUCUACUAAAAUCAGUGGUUUGCUGACGUCAACGUUGUGAACAGAAUGUCCCGUGGGAUUAUGGUAUGGGCAGGCAUAAAUUACGGACACAAUUCCUGUGAUGAGAUCCUGAGGCCCAUUGUCGUGCCAUUCAUCUGCUGCCAUCACCUCAUGAUAAUGCAAGGAUCUGUACUAGAGGUCGACCGAUUAAUCAGAAUGGCUGAUUAAUUAGGGCCGAUUUAAAAAAAAAAGUUUUCAUAACAAUCGGAAAUCAGUGUUUUUGGGCGCCGAUAUUAUUAUUUUUUUUAUACCUUUUAUUUAACUAGGCAAGUCAGUUAAGAACACGUUCUUAUUUUCAAUGACGGCCAAGGAACAGUGGGUUAACUGCCUCGUUCAGGGGCAGAACGACAGAUUUUUACCUUGUCAGCUCGGGGGAUCCAAUCUUGCAAAUUUACAGUUAACUAGUCCAACGCAAUAACGACCUGCCUCUCUCUCUCUCUCUCGUUGCACUCCACAAGGAGACUGCCUGUUACGCAAAUGCAGUAAGCCUAGUUCCUAGCUAGCAUUAAACUUAUCUUUAUAAAAGACAAUCAAUGAUAAUCACUAGUUAACUACACAUGGUUGAUAUUACUAGUUAUUAUCUAGCGUGUCCUGCGUUGCAUAUAAUCUGACUGAGCAUACAAGUAUCUAAGUAUCUGACUGAGCGGUGGUAGGCAAAAGCAGGCGCAUAAACAUUAAUUCAAACAGCACUUUCGUGCGUUUUGCCAGCAGCCUUUGUUGUGCGUCAAGCAUUGCGCUAUUUAUGACUUCAAUUCCAUCAACUCCCGAGAUGAGGCUGGUGUAAACAAAGUGAAAUGGCUAGCUAGUUAGCGUGUGCUAAUAGCAUUUCAAACGUCACUCGCUCUGAGCCUUCUAGUAGUUGAUCCCCUUGCUCUGCAUGGAUAACGCUGCUUCGAUGGUGGCUGUUGUCAUUGUAUUGCUGGUUCGAGCCCAGGGAGGAGCGAGGAGAGGGACGGAAGCUGUACUGUUACACUGCCAAUACUAAAGUGCCUAUAAGAACAUCCAAUAGUCAAAGGUUAAUGAAAUACAAACAGUAUAGAGGGAAAUAGUCCUAUAAUUACUAUAAUAACUACAACUUAAAACUUCUUACCUGGGAAUAUUGAAGACUCAUGUUAAAAGGAACCACCAGCUUUCAUAUGUUCUGAGCAAGGAACGGAAAUGUUAGCUUUCUUACAUAGCACAUAUUGCACUCUUACUUUCUUCUCACACACUUCGUUUUUGCAUUAUUUAAACCAAAUUGAACAUGUUUCAUUAUUUACUUGAGGCUAAAUUGAUUAUUGAUGUCUUAUAUUAAAUUAAAAUAAUCGGUAUCUGCUUUUUUGGUCCUCCAAUAAUCUGUAUCGGUAACUGCGUUGAAAAAUCAUAAUCGGUCGACCAUUAAUCUGUACACUAUUCCUGGAAGCUGAAAAUGCCCAAUUCUUCCAUGGGCUGCAUACUCACCAGACAUGUCAUCCAUUGAGCAUGUUUGGGAUGCUGUGGAUUGACAUGUUUGACACCAUGUUCCUGCCAAUAUCAAUCAACUUCGCACAGCCACUGAAGCGGAGUGGGACAACAUUCCACAGGUCACAAUCAAUAGCCUUAUCAACUCUAUGCGAACAAGAUGUGUCGUGCUGCAUGAGGAAAAUGGUGGUCACACCAGAUACUGACUAGUUUUCUGAUCCACGCCCCUACUUUUAAAAAAAGAUACUAUAUCUGUGACCAAUAGACGCAUAUCUGUAUUCCCAGUCAUGUGGAAUCCAUAGGAUAGGACUUUAUUUAUUUAAAUUGACUGAUUUCCUUGUAUGAACUGUAACUCAGUAAAAUCUCACUUUUUUUAUGCCCAUUAUUGAA